GAGUUUGAUCCUGGCUCAGAUUGAACGCUGGCGGCAUGCCUUACACAUGCAAGUCGAACGGCAGCAUGAUCUAGCUUGCUAGAUUGAUGGCGAGUGGCGAACGGGUGAGUAAUACAUCGGAACGUGCCCUGUAGUGGGGGAUAACUAGUCGAAAGAUUAGCUAAUACCGCAUACGACCUGAGGGUGAAAGUGGGGGACCGCAAGGCCUCAUGCUAUAGGAGCGGCCGAUGUCUGAUUAGCUAGUUGGUGGGGUAAAGGCCCACCAAGGCGACGAUCAGUAGCUGGUCUGAGAGGACGAUCAGCCACACUGGGACUGAGACACGGCCCAGACUCCUACGGGAGGCAGCAGUGGGGAAUUUUGGACAAUGGGCGAAAGCCUGACCCAGCAAUGCCGCGUGUGUGAAGAAGGCCUCGGUUGUAAGU
rnacentral:rRNA from 1 species